AUGAGAGCUGAACUUUCCAACAGGUCUUUCUUCUUUCUCCUAGAGACCGCCCGCUGUUCCAGAGAAGAUUUGGAGAUUAUUCCAAGCACGGGGGAUGUGGAAUUGGGCAAGAAGUCAUAUUUUCUCUGCAAAGUGAGAAAUGGUGGGGAAGCUACAUUGACGUGGCUUGACCCCAAUGACAAUGAAAUUGAUGCUGAUUCAGAGCCCUACAACGAGAAAGCUGUUGAUGAACUGUCCAAGGGGCUGGAGAUGACCCUCUGUGACCCAAAUCUGGGAGGAAUCUUCACAUGCGCAGGGCAAUUUGAUCAAUCUGGAGCUACUGCUAGAGCCCAGAUUAGAAUCCGUGUGAUCGUCACUCCCAGGAUACAGCUCCCUAUGGCUGAAUCCUCGGCCACCCAGAUUGGGAAUCCCACUCAAUACAACUUCACCAUAUUGGCGAACCCGUCUCCUUCUGUCACUGUUUCCUGGAAGGGAAAGGUUUUUGAAGGUGAUGAUAUCAAGGUGGUGGAAGAGGACCAAGGUACAUACAUGGUGUCUUUACAGUUCAUGCCAACAUCACAAGAGGAUAUUUCAGAACUUCUCAUAACAGCCAUCAAUGAGUUGGGCACCACUACGAAAACGGUUACUCUUAAAGAAGAUAUUCCUGACAAAGGUUUGGGGACAGGCAGCAUCCUGGCCAUUAUCUUAGCCAUCCUCCUUCUGUUGGUCUUGUUGGUGGUGGAUGUCUCGUGCUAUUACAGACGCCAAUGUGGCUUCCUGAUGUAG
rnacentral:lncRNA from 1 species